rnacentral:rRNA from 1 species
GGGGGGAGCAAGCGUUGUUCGGAUUUACUGGGCGUAAAGGGCGCGUAGGCGGCCUCCGCAAGUCAGUUGUGAAAUCUCCGAGCUUAACUCGGAAAGGUCAACUGAUACUGCGGGGCUAGAGUGCGGAAGGGGCAACUGGAAUUCUCGGUGUAGCGGUGAAAUGCGUAGAUAUCGAGAGGAACGCCUGCGGCGAAGGCGGGUUGCUGGGCCGACACUGACGCUGAGGCGCGAAAGCUAGGGGAGCGAACGGGAUUAGAUACCCCGGUAGUCCUAGCCUUAAACGAUGAAUGCUUGGUGUCUGGGAUUAUAUAGUCCCCGGGUGCCGUCGCUAACGCUUUAAGCAUUCCGCCUGGGGAGUACGGUCGCAAGACUG